GUAAACUAUAGCAAGCAAUCCUGCGGGCGGCUUCGGCUGCUCGUGGGUAACAUGGAUAACCCUGGUAAUUCUGAGGCUAAUACAAGAACGUACUUCCUGGCUGACCGGCAACGGAAGGCUGGGGAGCGUGCAACGUAUCGUAGGGAUAAACCGGGAAUGGGUGCACGCUUGGACCGCGCUAAAGACAGAUCUCGGCGAGCCUUCGGGUGAGCCUUGGCCUGAGCGGCUCUUGCUGUGUGCUUCUGACCUAUCAACUAGACGGCAGCGUAAGGGACAUGCUAUGGUUACAACGGGUACAGAGGAUUAGGGUUCGAUCCUGGAGAGUGGGCCUGAGAGAUU
rnacentral:rRNA from 1 species